UCUCUCUCUCUCUCUCUCUCAAACAUACACACAUAAGUGAGUCGGUAGGGUUAUCCCCUUUACCAACCACUGUUUGCCUUUUGAUCAUGCAUGGCUUGCUCCUGUGGCUGGUUGAUUGAGACUGUUAUCCUGGAAACCAUUAGUAUCAUAUGCAAGACUGUAGUGUUAGUUAAUUUAUGUUGGGAAGGAGUUUAAAGAACUAGACUCAAGAUUGUGCAGUAGCCAGUAGGCAUAUAGUUGCACCUGGCAGUGACUAAAAUUACUGUUCUAUGUGUGGAAGGGUAUGCAUUCUUCAAUUUUUCUAGCAAGUUUUGUUGUCAUGAUGCUCUGACAUAUGUUACUAUUCUUGCUGUGUAAAUUUAAUUGUGUCAUCAUUAGAUCUGUCUUGUGACAUAAUUGUAUUUUCUACUCGUAGGUUCCACAGAAGCCAUGAUGCAAU
rnacentral:misc_RNA from 1 species